AUACGGAGGGUGCAAGCGUUACUCGGAAUCACUGGGCGUAAAGCGCGCGCAGGCGGCUAUUUAAGUUGGAUGUGAAAGCCUACGGCUCAACCGUAGAACUGCAUCCAAAACUAUUUAGCUAGAGUGUGGGAGAGGAAGAUGGAAUUAGUUGUGUAUGGGUAAAAUCCGUAGAGAUAACUAGGAAUACCAAAAGCGAAGGCAAUCUUCUGGAACACUACUGACGCUGAGGCGCGAAAGCGUGGGGAGCAAACAGGAUUAGAAACCCUAGUAGUCC
rnacentral:rRNA from 1 species